rnacentral:lncRNA from 1 species
GGCUAUCAGGGAUGGGAGCAGAGGGUCUACCUCUGCUCCUAUCGCUCCCAGAUUGCAAUGUGGGCUGAUGUAAAAAACUGAAGCUGUGGGUAUGGGCAUGUGUGGGCUUCAUCUGAGCCAUGGCAUUUCCAGGAGCAGUUCCAGGGAGCGACAGAAACGUUCUUCUCCGGCACUGAAGGUGUGCUCUGGUUUACUACCACUUUAGCAAGUGCCAGCCUCGCUUUGGAUGCCACUUACCCUUCAAUAUGGGAUCAGUCUGUUUCCUACUGUGUCAAAACUUACAGAGGCCGGAUGUCUUUUUUCUCAUACAUCUGGCUUUGCUGGAAGUUUUGAAAAUGGAAUGGGAAGUCUCUCAGAUUCACGGGUCCAGCCAAGCGAUCGGCAUAUGGUCCAGUCUUCAUCUGCUGCAGCCGAGACGGGACGGGGCCUCUUCUCCCAGAUAGCUGAGCGCUCAGCUGCAAGAACCCAAGAACCCAGAUGUGUGUCCGUAUGUAAUUGAUGAUAUAAUAGAACGCGCGCUCUGGCUGCAGGGGAAAUGUGAUACGGUGUCAAUCACCCUGCCAGAGAGAAAAUGAAAGUGAGGUCCAAAAUUUGAAAAUGAUGACUUCGCUUUUGUUGGUUAAAGUCAUCAUCAGGUAAGG